UGAUUUUGCGUUAUUUUUUAGGCUCGCGCAAACGGGCCACUCACCACAGCCACCGGUGUCGCGCACCACGUCCUUUGGUA